ensembl:lncRNA
GUGAGGUUAUUUUCCUGACACCACACUCCGAGGGCCCUCACCUCCUCCCUGUCGGCCGUCUCGUCGUUGUUGGUAAUCAAGCCUACCACUGUAGUGUCGUCCACAAACUUGAUGAUUGAGUUAGAGGCGUGCAUGGCCACGCAGUCGUGGGUGAACAGGGAGUACAGGAGAGGGCUCAGAACGCACCCUUGUGGGGCCCCAGUGUUGAGGAUCAGCGGGGUGGAGAUGUUGUUACCUACCCUCACCACCUGGGGGCGGCGGGGCAGUACCAAGUUGGGGGCAGUACCAACUUGCACAGGGCGGGGUCGAGACCCUGGGUCUCGAGCUUGAUGACGAGUUUGGAGGGUACUAUGGUGUUAAAUGCUGAGCUGUAGUCAAUGAACAGCAUUCUCACAUAGGUAUUCCUCUUGGUGAGGGCCCUCGGAGUGUGGUGUCAGGAAAAUAACCUCACACUCAACGUCAACAAAACUAAGGAGAUGAUUGUGGACUUCAGGAAACAGCAGAGGGAACACCCCCCCAUCCACAUCGAUGGAACAGUAGUGGAGAGGGUAGCAAGUUUUAAGUUCCUCGGCAUACACAUCACAGACAAACUGAAUUGGUCCACUCACACAGACAGCAUCGUGAGGAAGGCGCAGCAGCGCCUCUUCAACCUCAGGAGGCUGAAGAAAUUCGGCUUGUCACCAAAAGCACUCACAAACUUCUACAGAUGCACAAUCGAGAGCAUCCUGGCGGGCUGUAUCACCGCCUGGUAUGGCAACUGCACCGCCCUCAACCGUAAGGCUCUCCAGAGGGUAGUUUGCCCCCGGUGAUGCGUUGUGCAGACCUCACUACCCUCUGGAGAGCCUUACGGUUGAGGGCGGUGCAGUUGCCAUACCAGGCGGUGAUACAGCCCGCCAGGAUGCUCUUGAUUGUGCAUCUGUAGAAGUUUGUGAGUGCUUUUGGUGACAAGCCAAAUUUCUUCAGCCUCCUGAGGUUGAAGAGGCGCUGCUGCGCCUUCCUCACGAUGCUGUC